rnacentral:rRNA from 1 species
UACGGGGGGGGCAAGCGUUGUCCGGAAUUAUUGGGCGUAAAGAGCGCGCAGGCGGUAACUCAAGUCAGGUGUGAAAUAUCCGGGCUUAACCCGGAGGGGUCAUUUGAAACUGAGUAACUAGAGUACAGCAGAGGAUAGCGGAAUUCCCGGUGUAGUGGUGAAAUGCGUAGAUAUCGGGAGGAACACCAGUGGCGAAGGCGGCUAUCUGGGCUGAAACUGACGCUGAGGCGCGAAGGCUAGGGGAGCAAACAGG